rnacentral:rRNA from 1 species
CCUACGGGUGGCAGCAGUGAGGAAUAUUGGUCAAUGGACGCUAGCCUGAACCAGCCAUGUCGCGUGCAGGAUGACUGCCCUAUGAGUUGUAAACUGCUUUUAUAUGGGGGUAAAGUGCAAUAUGUAUACUGCUUUGCAUGUACCUUAUGAAUAAGGAUCGGCUAACUCCGUGCCAGCAGCCGCGGUAAUACGGAGGAUCCGAGCGUUAUCCGGAUUUAUUGGGUUUAAAGGGAGCGUAGGCGGGUUGUUAAGUCAGAUGUGAAAUUUUGCGGCUCAACCGUAAAAUUGCAGUUGAUACUGGCAGCCUUGAGUAUAGUAGAGGUAGGCGGAAUUCGUGGUGUAGCGGUGAAAUGCUUAGAUAUCAAGAAGAACGCCGAUUGCGAAGGCAGCCUGCCGGACUGUAACUGACGCUGAGGCUCGAAAGCGUGGGUAGCAAACAGGAUUAGAUACCCGAGUAGUC